UAAGUGCAGAUCUGAUGUGAAAGGGAGUAAAGUUCCAAUCUGGUCCUCUUGCCCGCUCUUCAACACCGACGUACUCAUCCCAGCCAGGAACCAGGGACUGCGACCUGCAGGAGGCGCGUGCGCUCCUCGAGUACAACCCUCGGCUGGCCCAGUACUCCACAUUUGGCGGCUGCAAUUUGCCUCUGCACUACGCCGCCGCACAGGGUCACCAUGAGAUUGUUUCUAUGUUAUUCGAAUUUGGUGUAGAGAUCAAUCUCAUAACUAAAGGGGCAGACUGCUUUGAUGCAAGCAUGCCAAUAUGGCCACUGGGAGGUUGUUCAAACGCUGAUGCUCUUCAAUGCAAAUGCGAGUAUAUUGCUUGUUGUUCACUCUGUUUCUUUUUACUGCCUGGAUAUGUAGUCCUGAGGCGGCGGCUAAAUGUCUUUUCAGAUACACAGGUCAGAUUAUCCGAAUGGAAGGGACUGCUAUCCAUUUUGCUGC